rnacentral:ncRNA from 1 species
CUCAAAGCAAGCUUAUGCUCUGAAUACAUUAGCAUGGAAUAACGCGAUAGGAGUCUAGUCCUAUUGUGUUGGCCUUCGGGACCGGAGUAAUGAUUAAUAGGGACUGUCAGGGGCAUUUGUAUUUCAUUGUCAGAGGUGAAAUUAUUGGAUUUAUGAAAGACGAACCACUGUGAAAGCAUUUGCCAAGGAUGUUUUCAUUAAUCAAGAAUGAAAGUUGGGGGCUCGAAGACGAUCAUAUACCAUCCUAGUCUCAACCAUAAAUGAUGCCGACCAGGGAUCGACGGAUGUUGCUCUAAGGAAUCCGCCAGCACCUUCUGAGAAAUCAAAGUGUUUGGGUUCCGGGGGGAGUAUGGUCGCAAGGCUGAAACUUAAAGGAAUUGAUGGAAGGGCACCACCAGGAGUGGAGCCUGCGGCUUAAUUUGACUCAACACGGGAAAACUUACCAGGUCCAAACAUAGUAAGGAUUGAUAGAUUGAGAGCUCUUUCUUGAUUCUAUGGGUGGUGGUGCAUAGCCGUUCUUAGUUGGUGGGGCGAUUUGUCUGGUUAAUUCCGAUAACGAACGAGACCUCAGCCUGCUAACUAGCUACGCGGAGGUUCCCCUUUGCGGCCAGCUUCUUAGAGGGACUAUGGCUGUUUAGGCCAUGGAAGUUUGAGGCAAUAACAGGUCUGUGAUGCCCUUAGAUGUUCUAGGCCACACGCUUGCUACACUGAUGCAGUCAACGAGUUUUUCUCCCUGGUUCAAGAGGAUCAGGAAAUCUUCUCAAAUUGCAUUGUGAUGGGGAUAGACCAUUGCAAUUAUUGGUCUUAAACGAGGAAUUCCUAGUAAGCGCGUGUCAUCAACUUGUGUUGACUACGUCCCUACCCUUUGUACACAUCGCCCGUCGCUCCUAUCGAUUGAAUGAUCCGGUGAAGUGUUCGGAUCGCGUCAACGAGGGUGGUUCACCACCGACGAUGUCGUGAGAAGUUCACUGAACUUUAUCAUUUAGAGGAAGGAGAAGUCAUAACAAGGUUACCAUAGGUGAACCUACGAUAGGAUCAUUG